UGAUGCACUUGGAAACCGUUGUCAGGACGACACUUAACAUUCUGGCACUGACGUUUUGCAGAAUCUUGCUGCGCUUAAUAACUGCAGGUACCAGGCAAUACAAUCGGGGCCUGAUCGCUUAAAAGAAUAAACCAGGCUUCUCCAGAGUGGAUGUACCUUGUGAUACUGACUCGUACAAACCAGGAGCUCAGCUAAAGAUCAACUUGUGCUGCAUUGACCGAAACCAACUCAAACAACACUUGUAGCUCAACAACUGACUAGUGUUCAUCAAAUGGGGGAAGAAAUCCUAAAACUAGUCGUCAUCCUCUGCUGAAAUUGGCAUAACUAUUGGGUGCAUUGAGUCAAUGAAGGGUAUUGGUGCCACCCCAUUGGCUGUUUUGAAUCUGACUCAUGACCCCAUUGGCCAAAGACCGCAGAACAUUCUGGAAAGUCUGGGCAAGGAAGAUAAAAACACACACUUGGAAGCUAUCCCCUCAGCAAAGACACACAGUGAAGACUCGUGGCAGAAGACCAUGAGGCAAUCCAAAGAAGAGCCAGGAGAAGAUCCUGACCUGCAUUCGCACCUUUGUAGAAGAGAACCAGCCAUACCCAGUCAGAAAGGAAGAAACUUCCAACAGCCCAGCUCAACACAUGGAUCAUUGUGGGCAAUAUAUUUUCUCAGGUGGAUAGAGAUAGAUAAAAAGUAAAUAUUGUGGGAAUUUGAGAAAUGCUCAUAUUUUCAUAAGGAAUAACUUUUUAAUAAGGAAUAUU